rnacentral:lncRNA from 1 species
UUACCAGAUUUGAUCAACGCCUCUCUGAGCACAGCAGCCAGAUCUGCGACAGAGCAAGUCAAAAGGGAGUUAAAAUUACACAGGAUGCUUGUGAAGAAAAUGUGGUCAGCUGUGAACCUCAGACUUGAUCUCUUAAGUGAACUGAGAUGCACGAGGUGAAGCACUUCUGUCUUCCUGGGGACCUACGGCUGCUACAUUUUUCUUAAGUAGAGAAGGAUAAUUGCAUUUGUAUCUACUCUGCACGACUGCUCUGCUGCCAGGUUCUCAGUUGCUCUUCUUGCCU